GAUGAACGCUAGCUACAGGCUUAACACAUGCAAGUCGAGGGGAAACGACAUCGAAAGCUUGCUUUUGAUGGGCGUCGACCGGCGCACGGGUGAGUAACGCGUAUCCAACCUGCCCACCACUUGGGGAUAACCUUGCGAAAGUAAGACUAAUACCCAAUGAUAUCUCUAGAAGACAUCUGAAAGAGAUUAAAGAUUUAUCGGUGAUUGAGGGGGAUGCGUCUGAUUAGCUUGGUGGCGGGGUAACGGCCCACCAAGGCGACGAUCAGUAGGGGUGCUGAGAGGAAGGUCCCCCACAUUGGAACUGAGACACGGUCCAAACUCCUACGGGAGGCAGCAGUGAGGAAUAUUGGUCAAUGGACGAGAGUCUGAACCAGCCAAGUAGCGUGCAGGAUGACGGCCCUAUGGGUUGUAAACUGCUUUUAUAAGGGAAUAAAGUGAGUCUCGUGAGACUUUUUGCAUGUACCUUAUGAAUAAGGACCGGCUAAUUCCGUGCCAGCAGCCGCAGUAAAAC
rnacentral:rRNA from 1 species